rnacentral:rRNA from 1 species
GGGGAAUAUUGCACAAUGGGCGCAAGCCUGAUGCAGCCAUGCCGCGUGUAUGAAGAAGGCCUUCGGGUUGUAAAGUACUUUCAGCGAGGAGGAAGGCAUUGUGGUUAAUAACCGCAGUGAUUGACGUUACUCGCAGAAGGAGCACCGGCUAACUCCGUGCCAGCAGCCGCGGUAAUACGGAGGGUGCAAGCGUUAAUCGGAAUUACUGGGCGUAAAGCGCACGCAGGCGGUCUGUCAAGUCGGAUGUGAAAUCCCCGGGCUCAACCUGGGAACUGCAUUCGAAACUGGCAGGCUAGAGUCUUGUAGAGGGGGUAGAAUUCCAGGUGUAGCGGUGAAAUGCGUAGAGAUCUGGAGGAAUACCGGUGGCGAAGGCGGCCCCCUGGACAAAGACUGACGCUCAGGGGCGAAAGCGUGGGGAGCAAAC